GACAGAGGUCCCAAGCGUUAGGCGGAAUCACUGGGCUUAAAAGCGUGUGUAGGCGGAUUUGUAAGUACCUUGUGAAAUCCCAACGGCUCAACCGUGGAACUUGCUUGGUAUAACUGCUUAUUCUUGGGUGCGUCUAGGGGCGAAGCGGAACAAACGGUGGGAGCGGUGAAAUGCGUAGAUAUCGUUUGGAACGCCAAUGGUGAAAACAGCUCGCUGGGGACGUAACCGACGCUGAGACACGAAAGCCAGGGAGGCGAACGGG
rnacentral:rRNA from 1 species